rnacentral:rRNA from 1 species
UACGUAGGGCGCAAGCGUUAUCCGGAAUUAUUGGGCGUAAAGCGUCCGCAGGUGGCAGUUCAAGUCUGCUGUCAAAGACCGGGGCUUAACUUCGGAAAGGCAGUGGAAACUGAACAGCUAGAGUAUGGUAGGGGCAGAGGGAAUUCCUGGUGUAGCGGUGAAAUGCGUAGAUAUCAGGAAGAACAUCGGUGGCGAAGGCGCUCUGCUGGACCAUAACUGACACUCAGGGACGAAAGCUAGGGGAGCGAAUGGG